rnacentral:rRNA from 1 species
CAGUCGUACCGACGGAAAAUCAGCUCUUCGAGUGCGGACUUGUGGGUUUACGUGAGCUUUACGGCCUCGUUGUUUGCGAUGUUCGUUCUUUUUGGGUGUACUUUUUCGUAUGGUUGGCCAAUAUCAGUUUCGAUCGCUAUAAAAUGACCGGCGGAAUGUAGCUUCGAUCUCGUAUUGAAGUGUUAUAGCCUCCGGUAGAUGUGGUGAUUGGGACUGAGGAUUGCAACGAAUACCUUUUUGGGCUAUCCGUCUGAUCUCUGAAAGUUGCUUAGGUGCCGAAAGCGUGCUUACGGUUAUUUAAGUUGGCGGUCAAAAGGUUAGAACGUGAUUAAA